rnacentral:rRNA from 1 species
GGUUAAGUUAGAAAGGGCGCACGGUGGAUGCCUUGACACUAGGAGUCGAUGAAGGACGGGACUAACGCCGAUAUGCUUCGGGGAGCUGUAAGUAAGCUUUGAUCCGAAGAUUUCCGAAUGGGGAAACCCACCAUACGUAAUGGUAUGGUAUCCUUACCUGAAUACAUAGGGUAAGGAAGACAGACCCAGGGAACUGAAACAUCUAAGUACCUGGAGGAAGAGAAAGCAAAUGCGAUUUCCUGAGUAGCGGCGAGCGAAACGGAACAUAGCCCAAACCAAGAGGCUUGCCUCUUGGGGUUGUAGGACAUUCUAUACGGAGUUACAAAGGAACGAGGUAGACGAAGCGACCUGGAAAGGUCCGUCGUAGAGGGUAACAACCCCGUAGUCGAAACUUCGUUCUCUCUUGAAUGUAUCCUGAGUACGGCGGAACACGUGAAAUUCCGUCGGAAUCUGGGAGGACCAUCUCCCAAGGCUAAAUACUCCCUAGUGAUCGAUAGUGAACCAGUACCGUGAGGGAAAGGUGAAAAGCACCCCGGAAGGGGAGUGAAAGAGAUCCUGAAACCGUGUGCCUACAAAUAGUCAGAGCCCGUUAACGGGUGAUGGCGUGCCUUUUGUAGAAUGAACCGGCGAGUUACGAUCCCGUGCGAGGUUAAGCUGAAGAGGCGGAGCCGCAGCGAAAGCGAGUCUGAAUAGGGCGUUUAGUACGUGGUCGUAGACCCGAAACCAGGUGAUCUACCCAUGUCCAGGGUGAAGUUCAGGUAACACUGAAUGGAGGCCCGAACCCACGCACGUUGAAAAGUGCGGGGAUGAGGUGUGGGUAGCGUAGAAAUUCCAAUCGUACCUGGAGAUAGCUGGUUCUCCCCGAAAUAGCUUUAGGGCUAGCCUUAAGUGUAAGAGUCUUGGAGGUAGAGCACUGAUUGGACUAGGGGUCCUCAUCGGAUUACCGAAUUCAGUCAAACUCCGAAUGCCAAUGACUUAUCCUUAGGAGUCAGACUGCGAGUGAUAAGAUCCGUAGUCAAAAGGGAAACAGCCCAGACCGCCAGCUAAGGUCCCAAAGUGUGUAUUAAGUGGAAAAGGAUGUGGAGUUGCUUAGACAACUAGGAUGUUGGCUUAGAAGCAGCCACCAUUUAAAGAGUGCGUAAUAGCUCACUAGUCGAGUGACUCUGCGCCGAAAAUGUACCGGGGCUAAAUACACCACCGAAGCUGCGGAUUGAUACCAAUGGUAUCAGUGGUAGGGGAGCGUUCUAAGGACAGUGAAGUCAGACCGGAAGGACUGGUGGAGUGCUUAGAAGUGAGAAUGCCGGUAUGAGUAGCGAAAGACGGGUGAGAAUCCCGUCCACCGAAUGCCUAAGGUUUCCUGAGGAAGGCUCGUCCGCUCAGGGUUAGUCAGGACCUAAGCCGAGGCCGACAGGCGUAGGCGAUGGACAACAGGUUGAUAUUCCUGUACCACCUCUUUAUCGUUUGAGCAAUGGAGGGACGCAGAAGGAUAGAAGAAGCGUGCGAUUGGUUGUGCACGUCCAAGCAGUUAGGCUGAUAAGUAGGCAAAUCCGCUUAUCGUAAAGGCUGAGCUGUGAUGGGGAAGCUCCUUAUGGAGCGAAGUCUUUGAUUCCCCGCUGCCAAGAAAAGCUUCUAGCGAGAUAAAAGGUGCCUGUACCGCAAACCGACACAGGUAGGCGAGGAGAGAAUCCUAAGGUGUGCGAGAGAACUCUGGUUAAGGAACUCGGCAAAAUGACCCCGUAACUUCGGGAGAAGGGGUGCUUUCUUAACGGAAAGCCGCAGUGAAUAGGCCCAAGCGACUGUUUAGCAAAAACACAGCUCUCUGCGAAGCCGUAAGGCGAAGUAUAGGGGGUGACACCUGCCCGGUGCUGGAAGGUUAAGGAGAGGGGUUAGCGUAAGCGAAGCUCUGAACUGAAGCCCCAGUAAACGGCGGCCGUAACUAUAACGGUCCUAAGGUAGCGAAAUUCCUUGUCGGGUAAG